CCGCAGCCCGGCGGUGUUGCCCCUGGGCGCCUGGGUCCUGGAAGGAGCCGCCCACCCGGGCGUCCGGGUGAUCCCAGUUGAAAUCAAGGAAGCAGGUGGUACUAUUACAAGUAAUAAUACGGAAGAAGCAACUUUGCAGAAUCUUCUUGCUCAGGAAUCCUGUUGCAAGUUCCCAUCGUCCCAGGAACUAGAGGAUGCCUCCUGCUGUUCUCUUAAGAAAGAUUCCAACCCAAUGCUUGAGGGAGCCUUACCAUCGGUAGCCAACGGGUCUGCUUUCCCCUCGGGAUCAACUCUUCCAGGACCACCAAAAAUAACUUUGGCUGGAGUAACUCUUAGUUCAUGGGACACAAAGUCUAAAAAGCCAUGUAACUGUACCAAAUCCCAGUGUCUGAAAUUAGCUCCUGCUGAAGUCACUGAGAGCCCCAGUGAUGGGACAGUGAUGUGGGGGUGCACCAGUGGGUAGAAAUCCAGAAGUCCGUGAAACUUAAUUCACACAACCAAAGUGGAAAAACAAAUUGAUUUUUAAAAAGUAAUUUCAGACAGUCUAGGGUUGACUGUCUGAAAAUAUUUGAGCUAUCAUUGGUUUAGUCUAUGAGGCCAUAUACUUCUCUGAACGUUGGAAACGCCAUGACACGACUGAUGAGGAAACUAAAGACGCAGCUCUGGGUAAGGAGGAGGAAGGACAGUGGGAGAAAGCCUGCACCCUGUGACACCAUCAAGCCAG
rnacentral:sRNA from 1 species